CUAGCAUGAUGUCACAAUGAAGACUCCAUUAGAAGGAUACACACCGAAAUUCAGCAAAGGUUAACAACCAGAACAACAGAACAUAAAAUGGAGAAAAGAAAAUAAGAUUGGGUCCGCAUAGCAGUCCAGGUCAUAAUAGCAUCCUUUCAACUAAAAGUUGUGCUUCUCACACUCAUCUCUAUUGCUGUGGACAGUCACAGCAAUUCUUCCCACGGGACUCUUGGUGCCACACUUGCUGGCAUAUCAAGGGUCAGAACCACACUCACAGAUCCUCAUCUGUGGGGCAGCAGCUGUAGAUCAUCACUGUUGACCCUGGUCAAGUUUGGAGGAUGGUGGAAAAGCAGCAGGAUUGUGGAAGAAACAAAGUCUUUUCCCUGGAUGACCCAACAUCUCUGGUGAAUGGGUAGAGUAUAAGCUUAUCUUUUGCUAUUUUGUUGUUUCUGAGCUUGGGAAGGAAAGUAAACCUGUGGAUUCCCAGUACACAUCAAGCUUGGAGGCCUUUUAAUCACAUCAUUUGACGAUCACAAAACUCUCCCAAGUCCUUUAAGUAUGUUAAUGAUCUGAGAUUUAAUCUAUAUUCUUACCUAGCUUGCACAAACCUAUAAAUAGGCUCAUCUCAGGGUUAUUGCUGUUAUAAAUUAAUUAUGGAAAUGUCAACCAAAUCAGGUAGGUGCCAGCGGAGUAAUGGGAGGGCAGCGAUCCACUAAGCAGAGGGCGAUUCUGAGGAUGCCCUCUGUGCAAAGUUCACAGCCUCUGGCCAGGAUCCAUCGGCUUCCAGGGAGUUUAACCUUGAAGACACUCUGGGUUUGUUUCCUCCUGAGUAAUGGAGGGAGACUGGAAAAGUGACUUCUAUGACUAGUUCUGUGCCUUCCUCUUCACAGAACCUGUUGUUUCUUUUCCCUCACUGGGAACUGUAGGCAAAUUUGGCAGGCCUGCCUUUUUUCAAAUACGAUGACAGAUAAUCUGGAGCUUAUCUAUAUUGGGCUAAUGUUAGCUACACCACUACCCCUCACUGAUCCCACUGUUGGCAACUGAAAACUUUGGCUGGGGAAAGAAAAGGUGAGUAAUUACUGAUUCAUUUGAAAGGAAUGUUUUCCACAGAGAGGACAUAAUUGUUCUCAUGAAGCCUGGAGCCAGCCUGGAAUUGUCUAAAGGUGUUGGGAGGUCAAAAUAAAUUGUGUACUUGGACAGCAAUUUCUUUCCACAGGUCAAAGUAGCGAGAUUUUAUCCAAAGUCGCAUAUCCUAGAGGACUUACAGGAAACUCUGCAAAGACCUGGCAUCCUCACUGACAGAAGGGAGAGGCUAUUUCAACUUGAAAUUGCUGCCCUUUGGGAGGUGUUCUGGAGUCUCCAGCUCUGAACACAAAUUCAAGUUCUGUGGCUCAGGAAGGGAUAUAACAGUAUGCUCACCACAAUCGCAGUUCACUGAGCGACCUCA